GACGAACGCUGGCGGCGUGCUUAACACAUGCAAGUCGAACGGAAAGGCCCUGCUUUUGUGGGGUGCUCGAGUGGCGAACGGGUGAGUAACACGUGAGUAACCUGCCCUUGACUUUGGGAUAACUUCAGGAAACUGGGGCUAAUACCGGAUAGGAGCUCCUGCUGCAUGGUGGGGGUUGGAAAGUUUCGGCGGUUGGGGAUGGACUCUCGGCUUAUCAGCUUGUUGGUGGGGUAGUGGCUUACCAAGGCUUUGACGGGUAGCCGGCCUGGGAGGGUGACCGGCCACAUUGGGACUGAGAUACGGCCCAGACUCCUACGGGAGGCAGCAGUGGGGAAUAUUGCACAAUGGGCGGAAGCCUGAUGCAGCAACGCCGCGUGCGGGAUGACGGCCUUCGGGUUGUAAACCGCUUUCGCCUGUGACGAAGCGUGAGUGACGGUAAUGGGUAAAGAAGCACCGGCUAACUACGUG
rnacentral:rRNA from 1 species